CCUUAUCUAGUUUUAGGGGAUUGGAAGAGUUGGGGGAAAAGGAUGGAAGAAAGAAGAACCCAUAAAGUAGCAAAGAUAAGCUACACCUGUGUAAUCCAGUACAAGUUUCUAGAAAAACAUGAAAGGGGAGAUGUAGGAUUCAUUACAAGGUGAGCAAGCAACACAGGAAGCAGAUGAGUGGUUGUCCAUCUGAAAUUACCGAUCUUGCAGCUGGCUCACUGUUAGGUUCUCCCUGUGCUCACUAACAGACUGUUGAAUGAACAUGGGCAAAGGAAAGCAAGCAAUAAAGAUUGGGAAAGAGGGCUUGAUUACUACACAAGAACCACCGAGCAGACAAAGUGUUUUCUUCUAUGGGCAGUGAACUGAGGAAGAAGAACAUAAUGAAUAUUGUAUAAUGACUGACCAGUGGCUCAGAACAAGACCAGCUUUCUGUUGCUGUGGUAGGUGCUGUAACACAAAGGAACCAGGAAGAAUGGGCUCAUCUGGCUUACUCAUCCCCAGCACAGUCCCUCAAUGAGGGAUGGUAGGAUAAGAACUCAAGCAGGAACCUGGAGGCUAGGCCAAAGCACUGCUGCAGACUUUUAUCUGCUUGAUUAAGUCAAAGUCUUCACACCUGUAAGCCUCAGAGGAUGGUAAGAAGAGGAGAAACUUCAGACACAACUCACUCUGGUACGCUUG
rnacentral:lncRNA from 1 species